CCGCGGUUAUACGGGAGUGUCACGUUUUAUCCGGAUUUAGUGGGCGAAAGGCGUCCGCAGGCGGCUUUGAAAGUCUGCUGUCAUAGCGUGGAGCUUACCUCCAUUUCGGCAGUGGAAACUACGAGGCUUGAGUGUGGUAGGGGCAGAGGGAAUUCCCGGUGUAGCGGUGAAAUGCGUAUAUUUCGGGAAAAACACCAGUGGCGAAGGCGCUCUGCUGGGCCAUAACUGACGCUCAUGGACGAAAGCCAGGGGAGCGAAAGGGAUUAGAUACCCCUGUAGUCCUGGCCGUAAACGAUGAACACUAGGUGUCGGGGGAAUCGACCCCCUCGGUGUCGUAGCCAACGCGUUAAGUGUUCCGCCUGGGGAGUACGCACGCAAGUGUGAAACUC
rnacentral:rRNA from 1 species